rnacentral:rRNA from 1 species
GAUAAUGGCUCAGGAUGAACGCUAGCGGCAGGCCUAACACAUGCAAGUCGAGGGGCGAGCACGGUGUAGCAAUACACUGGUGGCGACCGGCGCACGGGUGCGUAACGCGUAUGCAACCUACCCAUAACAGGGGGAUAACACUGAGAAAUUGGUACUAAUACCCCAUAACAUCAGGACCGGCAUCGGUUCUGGUUGAAAACUCCGGUGGUUAUGGAUGGGCAUGCGUUGUAUUAGCUGGUUGG